AUACGUUUAUUUCAUAUAUUAAUUUAUUUUAUAUAUUAAUUAUAAGCUACAAUGUAAUGUAAAUGAUGCAAUAUUGCUGACUUAUUUAAAGUGAAAAAUUGUGUAAAUAAAGAUAUUGUCAACAAUACAGUACCGCAAAAUCAGAAAGCGAUGCCCCGUUCGGUGUACUGUUAGAUCUAUGUACGCGAUUACUAUCGACCGGUCCAUAUUUAUACUCGCUCCGUACAGACUCUCAACCACAGUCGUUUUAUGCACUCUACUGAACAAACAUUGCACUUGUACUGCAAACAAACUGAUAAGCUACAAUGGCAGUAUACAAAAUUGUCGCGAUCAUCGCAGUAAUGGCCACUUUAACCGCAGCUCAGAGGCCGUUUUACGCCGGAUCUCUUCCCAUAGGUUACCCUCAACAGAGUGAUGUAUUUUCCAUCUCCAACCGUUUCGGCGAAGACGAAGCUGUACCCAUUCAGGUACUAAAUGACAGAAGGUUCACAACCACAGUCGAAAAACUACCGUUAGACAACAGACCUUUUUAUUAUAUAAACUGGCGAGAAUAUGAAAACUUCAGGAAACAGCCGCAAACCUGGCCACAAAAGCCCAAUAAUUUCAUCGAUAAAUAGAAGAAAAAUUUAACGGCAAAAGAAUGAAUCGUACGAAAUUUAAAUUUUUAGUGUCGCUCGGAACAAAGGGACGACUAUGAAAGGAAGAACAAAACGUAUAAAAUAAUUUGAUCUAGUUUAUCUAGAAAACCUGUUUUGAAAACCUUGAAAUGAUGUACUUAUCUAGUUAUUUUCGGAAAAAAAAUAGUUAAAUUCCUGGCAAGCUUAUGUGUGAGACGCUUUUAUUGUUAAUGGAGUUAACCUGUUUUAUCUGUAUGUUUACCUUUAGUGAGUUCUAGUUUAUUUUUUUCUUUUAUUUUAAACCAAUAUGUAUGCAAAUGUAGCCAGUCACAUUAAUUAUAAUGUCAGUCAUUGCAUUUAAUUGCAAUUUUUUUAUUAUAUUGGUAAUUAAUGUUAGUGAUAUCAACGUUAAUCACCAAUAUACUACUCGUAUUUAAUGACUUAAUUAUUACAUUUUUUAUUUUUUUAUUUUUAUUUAAGAUCAUUUUCAUGCAAUUUUAAUUUAAUAAAAAGCAUUUAAAUAAUUCA